rnacentral:antisense_RNA from 1 species
GUGGAAGCUGGCUUGCCUGCGAUGGCGGCCUGUCAGGGUCAGAGGUGUUGGCUGGCUCACCGCUAUCGCAGGCAAGCCAGCUCCCAC